rnacentral:rRNA from 1 species
AACGAACGCUGGCGGCAUGCCUAACACAUGCAAGUCGAACGAGACCUUCGGGUCUAGUGGCGCACGGGUGCGUAACGUGUGGGAACCUGCCCUUAGGUUCGGAAUAACUCCCCGAAAGGGGUGCUAAUACCGGAUAAUGUCUUCGGACCAAAGAUUUAUCGCCUUUGGAUGGGCCCGCGUUGGAUUAGCUUGUUGGUAGGGUAAAAGCCUACCAAGGCGACGAUCCAUAGCUGGUCUGAGAGGAUGAUCAGCCACACUGGGACUGAGACACGGCCCAGACUCCUACGGGAGGCAGCAGUGGGGAAUAUUGGACAAUGGGCGAAAGCCUGAUCCAGCAAUGCUGCGUGAGUGAUGAAGGCCUUAGGGUUGUAAAGCUCUUUUACCCGGGAUGAUAAUGACAGUACCGGGAGAAUAAGCACCGGCUAACUCCGUG